AGUGAACGCUGGCGGUAGGCCUAACACAUGCAAGUCGAACGGCAGCACAGGAGAGCUUGCUCUCUGGGUGGCGAGUGGCGGACGGGUGAGGAAUACAUCGGAAUCUGCCCAGUCGUGGGGGAUAACGUAGGGAAACUUACGCUAAUACCGCGUACGACCUUCGGGUGAAAGAGGGGGAUCGCAAGACCUCUCGCGAUUGGAUGAGCCGAUGUCGGAUUAGCUAGUUGGCGGGGUAAUGGCCCACCAAGGCGACGAUCCGUAGCUGGUCUGAGAGGAUGAUCAGCCACACUGGAACUGAGACACGGUCCAGACUCCUACGGGAGGCAGCAGUGGGGAAUAUUGGACAAUGGGCGCAAGCCUGAUCCAGCCAUACCGCGUGGGUGAAGAGGGCCUUCGGGUUGUAAAGCCCUUUUGUUGGGAAAGAAAUCUUUCAGGCUAAUACCCUGGGAGGAUGACGGUACCCAAAGAAUAAGCACCGGCUAACUUCGUG
rnacentral:rRNA from 1 species